ACAGGUUACAGUUAAGCUUCGGUUUCCUACGAAGCGGUACCGCAAAAGAGCGGCCGUAAUUUGACGGCACGCUUCGCAGCGAAAAAGCGUGUAUGUACUUGCAAAUCGAAGUGUGUUCCGCCAGAGCGUUCGGCACAGAAAAAAACGGCACCGUAAUUUCGGAAGCGGCCGCUCUGUACGUUGGGAUAGUGCAACCACGAUUUUUGACAGUAGUCUAUAUAAACGUUUUCGGGUGAACUGCGGUCUUGUGUAGUCAGUGUAGUGAUUGUUCGUUUAAAUAAUAUCUAAUAAUUAGAAAUGGCUGAAAAAAAUAGUUGGUCUAGCGAACAAGAGGAAAUUUUAAUUGAUUUUGUUCGAACUCAUGAAUCAAUUUUUAAUGUAAAAUUAUCAGAAUACCGAAAGACGCAACUAAAACAAAGCUUAUGGCAGAAAAUUAGGAUAAUACUUCGUAAAACAGAUAUUGACUGCAGUAAACGUUGGGCUUAUAUUAGAGACUACUACAUUAGGAAAAGGGGAAAACCCAGUACCGGAUCAGUAGGAGAAGCUGCAAAAAAAAGGUCGGAGUUACUGUGUUUUUUAGAUAGCUGCCCAAGUGUAAAACGGAAAACAGUAAGUAACAUUGAAAAUACUGAAAAGACAAGCCAAAGCUCUCAGGAAGACAUGAAUCAGAUCAAUAUACAAAACAUGUCCGAAAUAGAUAGUAGCGAAGAACAAAGCUUGCUUAUACAGACACAAGACACGAGGUCCUGGAAUGUCUGCCGGACAGAAUCGGAAAAGUCGGAGAUAUACAAUACUCCUAGCAUUGACAGUACCAGUAGUACGACUUCUAAAUCGACAUUAUAUUCAGUAAAAAAACGUAAAUCAAGUGAUAAUUCCGACGCCCGACUUGAGCAAGAAGCUCAAGACGAGAAUGACUUAUUUUUUGCAUCUAUGGCUAAAAUUGUUAAAAAACUACCUACACCAGAACAGGUAAGGCUCAGGCUGCAGAUAGUUACUAUGAUUGGAAAUGCAGAAUUAGCACUAUACAAUCAAAGCAGGAGUAAUGAGAGCAUCUGCUUUGUCUCUCCAGGACCAUCCACCUCCAACUCCACUGCAGAGAGCAAUGAUUUUAAUUUUUUAAAUACACUUCAGAUAUUACAAUAAUCUUACGUUACACUACCAUUGUUAUUAGUUACAUUUACUUACCUUAAAAAAAUACAUAGCUUUUGUUCUGCUGAUAUCGGCUUUUUAAUUCGAUUGCUUGCUCUCGCAGUAAUAUCAUCGUGAAUUUUAUCCAAUACGUAACGAAACAAUUCCGGAGAUAAUCGAAAAUAUUCUUUAAAUUUUGUGUCAUUUGGUAUAAGAUGACGGCAUAUCAGAAUUUCAUAGGCACCCUCCGUCUCCCGUUUUUUAUAAAUAUCAGAUUCUUGCCUUCUGCCCUCCUCUUCUGACGAUUCUUCAUCCUCAAGAACUAUUAGAAUAGCCAAACUUAGGUCGUCCAUCUUGCAAAAACCACACACAAUCUUUGAUUUGAACUGUCAACUGGCUCUUGUCACGGUAUUUUAUCGCACCGUAUUAGUUUACAGUAAUAUUCACCGUCCAA